AAAUAUUGUUUAAAGAAAUGAGAGCUUAUUCAAGAAUAAGUGCUUGUAAUGAAACUAAGUUUAAAGUGUUUCAAGUGCUAGGAGCGGCGCAUCCAAGGCUCGAGGAGGACAACCGAAGCAAGCUUGAAGAGGUUUGAAUUCAAUCACUUAAGGUGGGGUUUACUUCUAUCUGUAAGCGUAGUUGUUACAUGGUUAUAAUCAUUGUUGUGUUGUGCGUCAUUCAUAUGAACUAAUGGGACCCACAAGGGGUCGGAUCCACAAGGGAUCAAAGAGCUGAACGGCCCACAAGGGGUCAGGUCCACAAGGGACCGAGACUAGUCUCACAAGAUGUCAGCUAAGUGAAAAAUUAUAAGAGUUCAACAUGUUAUGAUUCAUUACACAAUUGGUUAUAACUGCUUGCAGUGUUUACCCCAUGAGUGUGCUUGCACACUCAUAACCCUAUUAUUUAUGAUUCUUUUCAGGUUAAGGAGUUGACGGCAAGACGGCAGACAUGGAGCUCCACAUUCUCCCGUUCUAUUAUAUGAUGAAGUAUUAUAUGUUGCUGUUUUUGGUAAAUAUAUCUUGCUACUAACCAACUUAGCCUUUUCCAAUUUUGGUGGUCGAGACUUUAUAUAUAUUGGUUUAUGAUCAUGCAUUUUGAUGACGGCUGUGACCGAAUAUAUAUAUUUUGUUUACCGUAUGUGUAGUUACGAGCUGUGCCUCGAACACGUUAAUUAUACUAUUAAACUUG
rnacentral:lncRNA from 1 species